GGUCAUUGAUGAUUAGUAAAAGGUCUGAACGCACUGCAUUCCUCCCUUAAACCCAACAAACUCCCAGCAGAUUGUCUUUCUUCCACUGAGUUCUAGCAUUGCUCUGAGUGGCUUGAUAAUCUGCUGACACAUCUGGAUGCCCUUCAACCUGCAUUUUCAAGAAUCAUUCUGUGGGUGUGGUGAUAUCCUACAAUUCUUAAAACAUAAGGAGUUUGGGUAUGGGAAGAAAUACAGGCAGUGUAUGAUCUCAAGUUUUCAAGCUGAGACC